UUCCUAUUACCAAAGAAUAUUAAUACAGACACAGUGCUUUUGAAGUUCAUUUGAUCACUAAAUAACUGUACUGGUUUCAAUGAUGAUCAAAGAAAUCGUCGUCGUUGCAGUUCUUUUGAUGUGUUCCGUCACUGCUGAAGAUUGUGAACAGACCACACCCCAGCAAAUAAUUUGCAUGGGUGGCCUCAAAGAGCGAGUAUACUACUCCUACAAUGGCGGUGAAUGCAGGCGUAUGUAUGGCUGCUUUUCUGUACUCUCAACAAACUUAUACGAGGAAGAAGAAGACUGUGUGAAGGAUUGGGAGAACUGCUAGGUCAUACUCGUUUGAUUGAUAUUGUAGAAACAGAAAUACACUGACGAACAGUUUUCACGCA